rnacentral:lncRNA from 1 species
AGCAAAGAAAAAUAGAUGUUGCUAGCUCAAAGAAACAGGUAAGGACAACUAUUUUUUCAGUUCUUAAUCAUUCCAAGGUGUUUUUGUUAAAGAUUUUUUUGGUUCCCUUUGUCAAGAAGGUUGCUGAGCACUCAUAUGAAGCCACAAAUCUAGACUCAUCUACCCUAGCCACAAUAAAUAUUAGCUCACAGGUGACUAAUCAUGAAGCACUAGCUGUAGAUUUUCUUUUAGACAAGUUUCUGCAAUCCUUAUUUCAACUUUAUUUUAUGUUUACUUCAUGCUUUACCCAUAACAGCUACUUGGUGUCUUGUCUUAUUGACAUGAUUGAUUACUUAGAAAAAACUCAUGGAUUUAUGUUAGGCUGAACUAAGAACACCUUAAUAUUUCCUUACAUGUUAUGGCACAUGGCCUUAAUAACCUAUCUCCGUUUUGAUUCUAUUUUGUCAAUGAAAGAAAAUAUUAAUUUAUUCUUAUUUCACUAUAGAUGGAGCAAGAUGAUUAUGUGGACAUGAGGAUCUACCAGCACAUUACAAAUAUAAUUGUACUAAAUAUAAGGUUUGCAAAUCAAACUGAACACAUGGAUGCAAAGUAAUAUAUUGUGUACAUUUUACCAGAUACCAUUAUUGCCACUUUUUUCAACUUUCCUGACAUGUGUUUCUUUCUAGAACAAAGGCAAUAUGGUACUAAAUGACAAAGUGUUAAAUUUUAUUAUAUCUUUAGUAAGUGGAUCAUUUGUCACACCCGGUUUUAAGGAAUAAAACCAGGCUAGCUAUACGUGUGCCCAGAAAGUCCACACAUACAACAACAGAAAGGAACAGUAUCAGAAACAAUGUUAUAUAGCGAAAACAUACUUAUAAUUAACACUUACAUCAGAGUAUCGCGGAACGGUAACUAAUCUUCAGGCUCAAUCUUCACACGGACGGUUGACUGGGGGUAACAUAUGCGUAGCACUUCUUGUAUUCUGAGAACGUCCUUCAUGAUUUCAUCGCUCUUCUGAUCAACUCUUACUAGUAAACUGGAGUGGUGGGAAAUAGCAAGAGUGAGCACAUAACGUACUCAACAAGUAUAACCAGGGGUUCAUGAGGCUCAAAUAGCUGACACUGGUUUGACUGCAUUUAGCUUUUAAUGGUGGAUAACAUGUUUAAUCAUUGGAUAGCAAAUAUCAAGGUAGCAUAAUUAAUCCCAUAACCACAUGAUCAAUGUAUACAAGAAUUAAGAAUAACACUUAUAAACAACAUAAUAAACCAUCAUUUAUCAUCAUUAAUCAUGUUCAUCAGUGUCCAUCUAUUCCGUCAGUUUUCCGGGCCGCCCGUAUCCAUGGGCACGGCUAGUAUACCAGAUUUAACACUCUGCAGAGGUUGUACAUCUUUACCCAUGAGUCAUGAUUUACCCUUUCGCCUGAGGUGAUCAGCCUCUUAACCUACUUCCAAGGAAGGUCGGCAGGGUUCACUAUGAAGUCUUUCAAAGGUUCGACUAACAUGUUAGGGCCGCAAGGUGUCCUUUGCGCGCAGAUAUAGAUACCCCCUUCCGAAUGGUACAAUGACGCGCAGCCUAUACACAUAGGGACAGGGGCUCGCACUAUACCCAAAACGGUUCAGCCCCUCCGCCCUUUCGGGUAACCUCUAACAAGCUAGAAAAGCUUACUCAUACUUGACUAAAGCCAGAGCCAUAUAGCCCUCAUGGUUGUACGAGUUGUUCCAGCUUUUGCCAAGGGAUAAGUCCUUAUGGAGGGUCAAGAUCAAUCCAGCAAAAGCCAGAGUUCUUUCCACCCUUUAUAUUCAAGUUGCUAGAAAGCUUAUUUUAUUGUUUAUUGUAUAUUCAAAUAUUCAUGUCACAAGAUCAUGGAUUAAUAAUCAAGCACUAGCAAGAACUACCCAAAUGCAUAUCCAAAUAGGUAACAAGGAAUUCAGGGUAACAAUCAUCUAUGAUUUUGCUAAGGUCAUCAAGGUGAUAGCAUGCAUAUGAUAAAUGUUAUAUUAAUUGUGUAUAGAUAACAAGGAUGAUCCCAAGUUAUACUUGCCUUGCUUUCCACUUAGGGUUAAAUGCUCCUAGAAAUCCUUCGGUCUUCUUUCUUGUAGCUUUUGUCCCCCAGCGCUCACAAACAGUUCUCGUCUACUCGUAGCAAACACCACACAUAAGCAAACAUACAAGCAACAAACAGAAAUAUCUAAUAACAAUACAUCAAUCAAAAUAAAAGCGUUAAAAGAGAGCGUACUAACGGCACGGCUCGAUGCUAAAUUAUCAUAAAAAGAAACGACUACCUAAAGUUUUGGAUAUUAUAAAAGAAACAACUAUAAUCUUAAUAUGUUUUAGUUAAGAAAAAUCAUUUGUCACCUACUAAUUCAGAUUAUAGUCAAUUUAUAUUUUAAUCUUUAAAAACAAAUUGGAUCUAAUUAUAUCUUAUUUAUGAACAUGUCUAUUAUUUAAUCAAUAAUCAUAUUUCAAUUAUAAGCAUGCACGCAUCAUUUUAAUCAAAGUAAACUUUAACUUUUCCAAGAACGUGUGAAAACAUCUAUUCAAAUUAUACAUGAUAAGUGUUGGAUAUGAUCAUAUUUUAUUCAUACAUAAUUUUAUAUCGUUUAUGCCGGUUAAACUAUAACUUGUAAAAUAAUAUAACAUGCUAACACUAAAAUAAGUUUAUGGUAUAUAUCGUGAUUGUCUAAGCAAAAUAUAAUUAAAACACAUUUCAAGUUACUAUUAGUUAAAUUCAUGCUCAUAUAAUUACAAAGGAUAGACAUGACAAACCUAUAUUAUUUUUAAUUAUAAAACUAACUACAAGCAUAUUAAACAAUUAAAUAUUUAGCAAUAUAUGGAAAACAUGUGACAUGAAAAACACUAGCACUAACGUGUAGACUACAUUGCUAUGAGUCUAACACAACUUGAACGGAUUAAAUCAGAGUUAAAACAAGUAUUUUAUAGCUAAAACAAGCUAGUGUAUUUUCUUUGUAUUUCUAGAUUUGUUUUUCUAAAGAAAAACGGCCACAAAACAUAGUGAUGUCAUCAUGUGACCGUCGUGACAUCAUCAAGCUAGCAAUUGUCCUUUGCUUCGUGUGGCAUAGAUAGGCAUGGUUCUGCUCUGGAGCAGCCGACACCAGUGAAGAAGGCCGGUGCAGCAGUCCUCCAUGAGCGAUGGCAAGAGCUUGCAGGAAAAGCACGAAUGGGGCCUAAAGACCAUGGAAAGAACACAGGAAGUAAGAGGAGGAGAUUGCGAGCUCACCUAGGACCUUUGUGCAGACUAAGAUGGCUCGAUGGCUUCACCUGGCUCGAUAGAGUGCAUGGCCGCAUCAGAUGAUCGUAUCACCAUGUGUAGAUCGAGGGCGAUCAGGAUGACGGAGGCAAAGAAGGAACGGCAUGCUAGCAUCCGAUCAGUGCUUCACGUGGCCAGACUAGGGGUCCUCCAACAAUUGCUCCGUGCCAAAAUCCUCCGGUGGUGGCAUCAAUUGGUUUGCUCUUGCGUUGCCAAAUUUUCUGCAGGUCGCGACUGCACGGCAAGGAUGGAGCAGGACAGAACGAUGCUGCAGCGUUGCCCUCGGAAAGCAAGAUCAAUCGAGAGGAUCGAGUCUCGAACCAAGCGAUGAGUACGGCGGGAGCAAUCAUGUAGAAUAGUUCGAUGGCAGCUUGGCGAAACCCUCUCAUAGCCGACUUUUCCUUUCUGCUUUGCUGAUUUCGGUAAGAUUGGAUGGAGGUCGAUCCAAUGGGAGGAGCGGCAGCUUGAUCAUAAUUGAUUGGCUUGGUUUUAGGGUUUAGAGAAGAAACGACGGCCUAGGCUUUCUAUUAAUAUAAACUAGCAAUGGUCAUAUGGCAAACGUAGUCAUCGAGAUUGAGAUGGAGUCCUUGACGUGCACGUCCUACAUCUUAGAUAGGGAGAGAUCAUCAAUGAUACAAGGAAAGGAAACUACUAAACUAGAAGAAAACCAACAUCUAAUUAAAUAAAGAAGAAAAUUAAGAGCAGUCGAUUGCUUCCUUCAGAGGAUCAUUAUUUUAUACUAUAUUAUAUCAUCACGUUAUGUGCAAGGAGCAAAUUGGAAGCCUAAGAUCGAACAAAAUCUAUAGGUGAAGGAUUAGCUAGGGUGAUGAUUUCUAAACGUAUUUUUGAAAACUCCGUACACUCAAACACAAAGUCAGGUACCAAACAAAUAUCACAUCACACCAAGCAAAAGCCUGUCAGGAUAAUUCAAGACAAUUUGGAAAUUCAUUUUUUUUAUAGAACUAAUUUACACUAAUUCAACUAAACUUGGCAAAUCUUAUACAAAUAUUAAAUUUAUUUUAUUUGUUUAGUGUUUUCUAUGCACAACCCAAAAUCAGAAAUUUUGGGGUGUGACAUCAUUUCUACUAGAUCAUACCUUUCCCUCCAUCGACUAAUAAUUUCUAUUUAAUUAUAGGAAAAACAUAGCCACAAUGAUGUUAUGUUGGAUAAAAGCAAGUGCACUAAUAAAAUCAAGGUGCUGAAUAAAUAACUCUCUGUCCUAUAAAGUCUAUCAGAUUAUUGAUCAAAUUGUUGUAUUUAAACUAGCACAUAUUACAGGUUGUGGCAAAGGAAACAUCUGCUAUUCCCUCAAAUUUUGAAGCAUCUGACUACCAAGUAAAUAUUAUUUUGGCAAUGAUAUUUUUUGUUACAUGCUUACUUUCCACUAUUGAGUUAUCUGUUUUGACUUGUAUCUAGCACAACAAGAUCUCAAAAAGGCCUAGUGCAACAUUAUCUGCUAGUGUAUAAGACACAUCUCUUCAAACUUCAUAUUAUCCGUUUCUUUAUUGUUCUUACAAUGGAGUCUAAGAAUCCUCAUAUAUACUUUUGUAGAAACAUCAUUGUGGCACAACAAAUUGGUCAACUGGCAAUUCAAUGAUAGUAUGAUUAUUUGAUUUCUUGCAAGUAAUAUGAUUUGUUAUGUACUUAUAUUAUUUUUUGCAUGCUUAUAUAUGUGAACCAGAUUGGCACCAAAGUCUACUUACAGAGC